rnacentral:rRNA from 1 species
UACGAACUGUGCAAACGUUAUUCGGAUUCACUGGGCUUAAAGGGUGCGUAGGCGGCCAUGUAAGUAGGGUGUGAAAUCCCCCGGCUUAACCGGGGAACUGCGCCCUAAACUGUGUGGCUUGAGUGAGAUAGGGGUGUGUGGAACUUCCGGUGGAGCGGUGAAAUGUGUUGAUAUCGGAAGGAACGCCGGUGGCGAAAGCGACACACUGGGUCUCAACUGACGCUGAGGCACGAAAGCUAGGGGAGCAAACAGG